GACGAACGCUGGCGGCGUGCCUAAUACAUGCAAGUUGAGCGCUGAAGGUUGGUACUUGUACCGACUGGAUGAGCAGCGAACGGGUGAGUAACGCGUGGGGAAUCUGCCUUUGAGCGGGGGACAACAUUUGGAAACGAAUGCUAAUACCGCAUAAAAACUUUAAACACAAGUUUUAAGUUUGAAAGAUGCAAUUGCAUCACUCAAAGAUGAUCCCGCGUUGUAUUAGCUAGUUGGUGAGGUAAAGGCUCACCAAGGCGAUGAUACAUAGCCGACCUGAGAGGGUGAUCGGCCACAUUGGGACUGAGACACGGCCCAAACUCCUACGGGAGGCAGCAGUAGGGAAUCUUCGGCAAUGGACGAAAGUCUGACCGAGCAACGCCGCGUGAGUGAAGAAGGUCUUCGGAUCGUAAAACUCUGUUGGUAGAGAAGAACGUUGGUGAGAGUGGAAAGCUCAUCAAGUGACGGUAACUACCCAGAAAGGGACGGCUAACUACGUG
rnacentral:rRNA from 1 species